CCCCAGGAACUAGGUUCCUUCCUGGUGAUCGCCCCAGGAACUAGGUUCAUUCCUGGGGAUCGCCCCAGGAACAUUUUUUACUAAUCGUUUACUUUUAUUUUUCUCAUAUUUGAUAAGGUUUAAAUUUAUUUUUUCUCAUAUUUUGAUUAGUUGGAAAUAUUUAUUUCAAAUUCUUUUAAGUGAAUGAGUAGCCCCAAGAAAGCC
rnacentral:lncRNA from 1 species